AUAAAUGAAAGCUAAGCCUAAGCUAACAAUUUUAAGUAAACCGAACUGACUGCAAAUAUUUCAAAUGGGAAGAGUUGUGCAUCCACGAUUGAAAUUAUGCAAUUGUUAAAGACAGAAGUCGUAAGGAUAAAGUAGUAGAAAACGUAUUGGCGAUGUGUCAUACAAGAAUGCUCAGGUCGAGCUGUAACCAUCGGGGAACCACCGAAUACCGAAGAUGCCCGAUGAACAAGACGCUACACCAUCGUAGCGGCCCUUUGAAUUACCAAUAUCUAAUAAGCAAACUGAAGAAGAAUGCAAGAACUUACUCUGGAAAUACAAUGGGAAAUAAAUCUACUUUAGUUUGUGUAAGUAUUAAUUACUUAUCUAUUAUUUAUACAUUACAUUUAUCUCGUUUUCAUUUACACAUAUGAUGUUAUAUUGAAAAUCUUGUUUAUUAUGAAAAUAUAUAUGAGAGAUGUUUUAUUUUCUGUGUACCAGAGAAAGAGUCAUUAAUGGCAUAUUGCCUAAUUCUAAGGUGAAACGUUUGCAGAAUCUUAAAUGUACAUAUUUUGUAACCAUAGUGAUACUAACCCUAACCUUUAGUCAGUAUUUUAUGCAUAUUUUACACUAAAUGCGUGCGAACCUUAAAAAUAUGCAUAUUUUUGCCGUGCGCUACAAUUGAUAAUCAUUUUCGGGCAUGCGCAGAAGACCGCUCUAACUUUGCAAUGAGUUACAUUGAUUGUAAAUUACAAAAUAUCAUGAAUUACGUUGACACUUACUGCCCAUUGUGUCUCCAGCUGCACCUUGGUCUUGUUUCUGAUGCUUCUUUUUAUUUUUUUACCAAAUAACUUCAACUACAACAGUAAAAACAAAUGCUAUUUUUAUCUCUUUUUUAUAUCUUUGAUGCCUUAAAAUAUCAAAGAAUAUUAGCUGGUAAACUUACGUUGGCUAGAAAGUCAUUUAUUUUCAUAGUAAUUUUCACUGAUUCUGUUUUAUAAUUAAUAUAUUGUCUAAUUUGCGAAUUUUUGAUUAUUUGGCAUCCUACACUGACAUAUAAAGUUAUUAGCUCGAUUUGAAUGUGUUAUAUACUUAUAUUGUUUGUUCAAUAUUUAUAGUAAAAACAAAUAAAAAAUUAAGAAAAAAAAAUAUUACCAUAUUUAAAAUGUCUCUGUAGUUUUCAGAUUAUCAAAUGACUGAUAAGAUACCGUGGUCGUCAAUACAUCGAUUCAAAACAUGUAAAAUU